rnacentral:rRNA from 1 species
CACGUAGGGCGCGAGCGUUGUCCGGAAUUAUUGGGCGUAAAGAGCUUGUAGGCGGUUUGUCGCGUCUGCUGUGAAAAUCCGGGGCUCAACCCCGGACUUGCAGUGGGUACGGGCAGACUAGAGUGUGGUAGGGGAGACUGGAAUUCCUGGUGUAGCGGUGGAAUGCGCAGAUAUCAGGAGGAACACCGAUGGCGAAGGCAGGUCUCUGGGCCACUACUGACGCUGAGAAGCGAAAGCAUGGGGAGCGAACAGG